rnacentral:lncRNA from 1 species
UGCUUAGCUCUGUUCAUUGUACAAGAACAUAUGAAAUCAGACAAGGUCAAACAAAAGGUUAUCUGAGGUAAUUCAGAAGGUAGGAGAAGAGGAAAGAGUUGCUGUAUGGAAAUAGAUGGUAUUCAUUCAUAAUUAUGUUGCUGCUGUACCAUACCCAUGAAAGCAGCCUGUUUUACUCACUAAAUGCUUUCACUUAGAAAGGAAAUGUUUCCUGUGUGCCAAAGAGCUAUUUCAAAACUUUUUAUUUGAUGUAUUUAGACUUUUAAAAAAUAUCUUCGUGAAGAUGUAU